rnacentral:rRNA from 1 species
CCUACGGGAGGCUGCAGUGGGGAAUAUUGGACAAUGGGGGGAACCCUGAUCCAGCCAUGCCGCGUGUGUGAAGAAGGCCCUCGGGUUGUAAAGCACUUUCAGUGAGGAAGAACGCCUGGUGGUUAAUACCCAUCAGGAAAGACAUCACUCACAGAAGAAGCACCGGCUAACUCCGUGCCAGCAGCCGCGGUAAUACGGAGGGUGCGAGCGUUAAUCGGAAUUACUGGGCGUAAAGCGCGCGUAGGUGGCUUGAUAAGCCGGUUGUGAAAGCCCCGGGCUCAACCUGGGAACGGCAUCCGGAACUGUCAAGCUAGAGUGCAGGAGAGGAAGGUAGAAUUCCCGGUGUAGCGGUGAAAUGCGUAGAGAUCGGGAGGAAUACCGGUGGCGAAGGCGGCCUUCUGGACUGACACUGACACUGAGGUGCGAAAGCGUGGGUAGCAAACAGGAUUAGAUACCCCUGUAGUC